rnacentral:rRNA from 1 species
CGUGGGCGACCUGCCUCACACAGGGGGAUAACAGCCAGAAAUGGCUGCUAAUACCGCAUAAGCGCACAGUGCUGCAUGGCACAGUGUGAAAAACCGAGGUGGUGUGAGAUGGGCCCGCGUCUGAUUAGCUUGUUGGCGGGGUAACGGCCCACCAAGGCGAUGAUCAGUAGCCGGCUUGAGAGAGUGGACGGCCACAUUGGAACUGAGACACGGUCCAAACUCCUACGGAAGGCAGCAG